AUCCAGCUGACCAGUUCCAAAUAGAGCGAAAUGUGCGUCCGGGAU
rfam:Schistosoma haematobium scaffold330_13, whole genome shotgun sequence.